rnacentral:rRNA from 1 species
GCCCAGCUUGCUGGGUGGAUUAGUGGCGAACGGGUGAGUAACACGUGAGUAACCUGCCCUUAACUCUGGGAUAAGCCUGGGAAACUGGGUCUAAUACCGGAUAGGAGCGUCCACCGCAUGGUGGGUGUUGGAAAGAUUUAUCGGUUUUGGAUGGACUCGCGGCCUAUCAGCUUGUUGGUGAGGUAAUGGCUCACCAAGGCGACGACGGGUAGCCGGCCUGAGAGGGUGACCGGCCACACUGGGACUGAGACACGGCCCAGACUCCUACGGGAGGCAGCAGUGGGGAAUAUUGCACAAUGGGCGCAAGCCUGAUGCAGCGACGCCGCGUGAGGGAUGACGGCCUUCGGGUUGUAAACCUCUUUCAGUAGGGAAGAAGCGAAAGUGACGGUACCUGCAGAAGAAGCACCGGCUAACUACGUGCCAGCAGCCGCGGUAAUACGUAGGGUGCGAGCGUUAUCCGGAAUUAUUGGGCGUAAAGAGCUCGUAGGCGGUUUGUCGCGUCUGUCGUGAAAGUCCGGGGCUUAACCCCGGAUCUGCGGUGGGUACGGGCAGACUAGAGUGCAGUAGGGGAGACUGGAAUUCCUGGUGUAGCGGUGGAAUGCGCAGAUAUCAGGAGGAACACCGAUGGCGAAGGCAGGUCUCUGGGCUGUAACUGACGCUGAGGAGCGAAAGCAUGGGGAGCGAACAGGAUUAGAUACCCUGGUAGUCCAUGCCGUAAACGUUGGGGCACUAGGUGUGGGGGACCAUUCCACGGUUUCCGCGCCGCAGCUAACGCAUUAAGUGCCCCGCCUGGGGGAGUACGG